rnacentral:lncRNA from 1 species
AGCAGACAGGGUGCUUGCCUGCGUGUGGCUGCUCACGGCUUAUGCCUGCCUGCCUGUGGCUGGUGGGGUGCACCCAGACAGAGCACCUGUGGGGCUCCCACCCUCUUGCACACCCCACGCUGCUCUCUCUGUCUCCUCACUGGAUGGGGAUGAGAGCACGGCUCAGAGAUGGGACUCCCUCAGUGCACAGUGUGAGGGUGUCUGGCUUUGUGUCCUUCCCUCUCUCUGCUUGGUGGGCCACCUUCCUCAAAGACGACAGACUGGGCCCUGGAUGGCCCUGGGUGAUGGGCCUGGAGGUCAAGAGGCUUUGGGGAGGGAGAGCUUGUUUAUGGUCUCCCAGAGUCUCUGAACUCCAACAGGAGGGUUGGAGCCUUCUCCGUCAUGUUUACCAUGGAAUUCCCAAUCCCAUCUCAGUGCCUGGCACAUAAUGGCCCCUCAGGAAAUGUGUCUUGACUAAACUCAUAGCUUUGCCCCUGCUCCUGAGUGCUUUAGUCAUCCUCUUCUCCGGGAGUGAAUGACAAAGGGGCCCUUUUAGUUCUCUGGCUGUGCCUUCUCUCAGCCACAUCCCUCUAAUCCUUCCUGCUCCUGUCUUCCCUGGGGUCUCCUGCACUGGGCCUCACAGGUGAGCACCUGCAACUCUCAUUCCUGCAGAAGCCUCUGGAAAGUCAGACACAAGCUGGCUCCAGCGGAGGGGCCUCCAGCCUCUGCUGUCCCUUGCUGUUUUGUCUCAAGGCAGCGUCUUUCAAAUUGCCCUGCCACUGCCCUUUGGAGCCUUUGAGGAGUUUGAGGGGUUGUCAUAGCCAUGAAGAUUUAAACUUUGGAGGUCACACAAGGUUUUAAACAUCUGUUUUAUAAACUGAGUUCUCAGUAGAAGUUUUGAAGACAGAGCUCCAGUACUAAAAAUCUGUGCGGCCUGGCCUGCUCCUGACAUUUGCAGGCGUCUGUGCGGGAGUGGAAACAACACUGCUCCCGCUCAGGAGGAUGUGCCUAGGGCAGAGGCUCGAGCACUCCUGGAUGGGGCUCCCGUCAUUUGGACAGGGAAUUGGAGGGUGCCAGAGACCCAGAGUGUGUGCUAGAAGGAGGAACGUGGCUCCACGUGGGCCUGUCCCCUUGGCCUUCAAGAGCUUCACCUGGGCUGGGGCACUGGCUGCCCUGGUCUCAGUGUGGUAUCCUUUGAGAAUGACAAUUUCAGUAUGCACUCACUCUCUGCCUCUCUGUGCCGCUGGUCUGUGAGCUGGUCCAGGGCUGCGUUCUGGAAGACGGUGAGAGAACUGAAUCUUGUCCAGGAUCCCACACUGUUGACUCUCCCUUGGAGCCCUCCCCUUUUAUCUUUUGUGUAGUGCUCUUGGCUGGUCCUCAGAUGGGGUCUUGUCUCUUCCCUCAGUCUGGGGGCUUCAGGGAGACAGGAGCUAUUGCUUCUCAGAUGACGAGCUUCCUGGAGGAACUGCAUCUCCUUCUUUGGAUUGGGGGGGUGCCUGGAGGAGGGGCUGAGUCCCCUUCCCUAGUCCUCCUUCCUCCAGGUGGAGGCCAGGUGUGUGGCCUGAGCACUAGGGGUUGGGGGCUCUUGGAGAAUGGUAAGGGAUGGGAGAGUGAGGGAGCUGGGUGGGAAGGACACAUGCCCAGGGCUGCAGACAGGCAGAACCCAACAGGCAUGGUGCUUAGUUCCAGGGGCCCCGAAAGAGCAGCAAGAGGGAUGGAUGCUCUUCACGCUUCGUGAGGGCUGGCCAACAGCCAGGCAUGGGAGCUGGGGCGCAGGAUUGGGGCACGGUGAGAAGAGGCUCUAGGCCUCUCGGGUUUGGGGUCACCCCUGGAUUCUAUUUCCCUUGUUCUUUUCCGGACCUCUGAGAAGCUGGGAUGGGCAGACAUUUCCACUGUCUGGAGCCAGGAAGGAUUUCUUGGAAGAGAAUAACUCAGGGGCUCAGAGGGGAGGCAGGUCUCUCCCUCCCUCCCACCCUUUUCCCCUUCCCCCAACACCAACCCAGGGCAGGCUAACCAAACUUUAUAUAUAUUCUGAGUUAAGGAGCCCUGUGUCACAUUGAUAGGAAAAAACAAGAGAGAGAGAAGGGGAAGCCAGGAGAAUGCAGAGCUCAAAUGAGAACCGAGAUAAAGCAAUUACCUGAUCAAUACGGGUGAAAUUGAGUAAUCUAGCAGAUCAAUACCAUGGGCAGGAGGCUGGGGGGUGGGUGCUCCCUGC